rnacentral:rRNA from 1 species
CCUACGGGAGGCAGUAGUGGGGAAUAUUGCACAAUGGGCGAAAGCCUGAUGCAGCAACGCCGCGUGAGUGAUGAAGGCCUUCGGGUUGUAAAGCUCUGUCUUUGGGGACGAUUAUGACGGUACCCAAGGAGGAAGCCACGGCUAACUACGUGCCAGCAGCCGCGGUAAUACGUAGGUGGCAAGCGUUGUCCGGAUUUACUGGGCGUAAAGGAUGCGUAGGCGGAUAUUUAAGUCAGAUGUGAAAUACCCGAGCUUAACUUGGGUGCUGCAUUUGAAACUGGAUAUCUAGAGUGUGGGAGAGGAAAGUGGAAUUCCUAGUGUAGCGGUGAAAUGCGUAGAGAUUAGGAAGAACACCAGUGGCGAAGGCGACUUUCUGGACCAUAACUGACGCUGAGGCAUGAAAGCGUGGGGAGCAAACAGGAUUAGAUACCCUGGUAGUCCACGCCGUAAACGAUGGGUACUAGGUGUAGGGGGUAUCGACUCCCUCUGUGCCGCAGUUAACACAAUAAGUACCCCGCCUGGGGAGUACGGUCGCAAGAUUAAAACUCAAAGGAAUUGACGG